UACAGAGGGGGCAAGCGUUGUUCGGAAUUACUGGGCGUAAAGGGCGCGUAGGCGGCCUGUUAAGUCGAACGUGAAAUCCCCGGGCUCAACCCGGGAACUGCGUCCGAUACUGGCAGGCUUGAAUCCGGAAGAGGCGAGUGGAAUUCCUGGUGUAGCGGUGAAAUGCGCAGAUAUCAGGAGGAACACCAAUGGCGAAGGCAGCUCGCUGGGACGGUACUGACGCUGAGACGCGAAAGCGUGGGGAGCAAACAGG
rnacentral:rRNA from 1 species